rnacentral:tRNA from 1 species
GCAGUGGUGGUUCAGUGGUAGAAUUCUUGGCUUCCAUGAGGGAGACCCUGGUUCGAUUCCCAGCCAAUGCA